rnacentral:lncRNA from 1 species
CACAUAACAGUAAAAUUUUGCUAAUUUCACAAAGACGUAAAAAAUCGCGUAAUUAAUUGCUCCCGGAAUAUAUUGCUACUGUUAAUUAUAUGUGGAUCACACAAAGAUAAAUGAAGUUUGUAUUAGGGAAGCAAAUAAACAGUCGUCUGAGACCACCAAAGAUAUAUUUUGCAUAUUUUGUAAUUGUGACACCAGGCUGCAUGCAUGCAUGAAGGCAUCACAUGGCAUGAUGACAUGGCAUGGAGAAAGAUGCAGUUGCUGGACCAGGUGACAAGUGAUGUAAAAGCUAUAAAGAUUUGUAAGACCUGUAAACAUACUCUGAGCGCUUUUUAUAUAGUUUCGUAUUUAUUUUGUCUGAAAUUUAGUAGUUUAAGGCCCUUUACGGCUUUAGUCAUGCAUGGUAUUUUUUGGUCUUUUUGAAAUGCGUUAGAAUUUUUAUAGUAAUUACAACACUUAACUGCUAAGUCUUCCAUGACAGUAAACAACAAAACUUUUAGCGUUUCCACAUUAAACACCAUAGAAUAUGGGCCGUCAACACUUGACAUUAAACCCCAUUUAUAGACCCUCUCUUAUACAUAUGCAUGGAGUUUAACUUUUAUUUUGGACAAAAAGACAUUUCUCCGCCGUAACCAAGCUCUAAUUCUAAUACGUAUACCCCCAAUCAAUUGCAUGUAACAUGUAUAAUUAAAAUAAUGAUAAAAAGAUUUGUGAUUUGUUAUAUAAUAUUAAUAAUGCAAUAAGCAUUCUUCUUCCAAACUAAAAGCGUUCAUCUUUGUCGCAUGUAAUAUUAACAAAGGUAAAAGUUAAAAAUUAAUGAAAAGAUUGUUGUCUAUGUUAGGAUGAGGUGACUUGCAAGUUAGGUCCACUGUAAGCUUGUCCACCAUUGUUGGUAUAAGAUGUUCCUAGACCGUACAGAUGACCACAAUAUUUCGUAUCAUCUAUCUUGUCUUCAAAAAACAUCU